rnacentral:rRNA from 1 species
AGGUUCUUGACAUCCCGAUGCUUAUUUCUAGAGAUAGAAAGUUACUUCGGUACAUCGGUGACAGGUGGUGCAUGGUUGUCGUCAGCUCGUGUCGUGAGAUGUUGGGUUAAGUCCCGCAACGAGCGCAACCCCUAUUGUUAGUUGCCAUCAUUCAGUUGGGCACUCUAGCGAGACUGCCGGUAAUAAACCGGAGGAAGGUGGGGAUGACGUCAAAUCAUCAUGCCCCUUAUGACCUGGGCUACACACGUGCUACAAUGGUUGGUACAACGAGUUGCGAGUCGGUGACGGCGAGCUAAUCUCUUAAAGCCAAUCUCAGUUCGGAUUGUAGGCUGCAACUCGCCUACAUGAAGUCGGAAUCGCUAGUAAUCGCGGAUCAGCACGCCCGCGGUCGAAUACGUUCCCGGGCCUU